ensembl:snRNA U6 U6 spliceosomal RNA
GUGCUCGCUUCGGCAGCACACAUACUAAAAUUGGAACGAUACAGAGACGAUUAGCAUGGCCCCAGCGCAAGGAUGAUUAUCUUUCUUGCCCAUCUUGUU